rnacentral:lncRNA from 1 species
GCGGGAAGCAGCGGCCGGCAGGGGAGGGAGCGGUAGCGGAGCCGGCCGGGGUCGGGCUGAGCGAGGGGGGCUCUGGUGCCACCGGGUCCCGCCGGCUGAGGGGCAGCCUGAGGCCUCUGGGGUGGUGGCGGCCGGGUGGGGAUUGCCUUCGUGGGGACGCAGACAUUGUCCCUGGCUGUGGGAUCUCCAGGGACAGCGUGUCUCUCCCUCCCUCCCUCCCUCGCCGGAUUUCCUUGGGGCCACAUUUCCUGAGAGUGUGCUGGCUAUCUUCAUGGGGACCAGAGAGAGUCAUGGUUUGGAUCAGACUCUGCUGCUGCUGCUGUAGAAGUAAUGGUGGGGAUUGAGAAAUGGGUACAGGAGCUGCAUCUUUCUUACUCCAUCAUGUGAAUCAUGUAAUACUCCAUGGCUUUCUGCUGCUUUGUUCUCUGCUCCUUUGGUGAUUUACUGUUUUACUUUCUGCCCUCUUUUGUGACUCAUGUACAGCUUUGUCUCUGCAGUGGCCCUUAUAGAUUGUGUGAUGGCUCCAUGAACACAGCGGGAGCAGCCUUAAAUGGGAGGUGAUUCUGUAGAGCCCCACAGCCUUGGAAAUCACUUUCAUUUAGAACCACAACUUUGUAAGGGCUUGCUUGGAGAGAGCAAGACAAACAAGCCUUCUGUCACAGGAGAAGACACGCUUUUUCCUACAUGGGCCUCCAGAGAGAGCACAGAGUCAGAGGCUGAUUUACCACUGUGA